rnacentral:rRNA from 1 species
UCGGACGGUAACAUGAGGUGCUUGCACUUUGUAGACGAGUGGCGCACGGGUGCGUAACGCGUAUAGAACCUACUCUGUACAGGGGGAUAGCCCAGAGAAAUUUGGAUUAAUACCCCGUGGUAACUAUAAAUGGCAUCAUUUAUAGUUUAAAGUUUUCGGACGGUACAGGAUGGCUAUGCGUCCUAUUAGUUAGAUGGUGAGGUAACGGCUCACCAUGGCAUCGAUAGGUAGGGGCCCUGAGAGGGGGAUCCCCCACACUGGUACUGAGACACGGACCAGACUCCUACGGGAGGCAGCAGUGAGGAAUAUUGGACAAUGGGCGUAAGCCUGAUCCAGCCAUGCCGCGUGCAGGAAGACGGCCCUAUGGGUUGUAAACUGCUUUUAUACGGGAAGAAUAAGGGACACGAGUGUCCUGGUGACGGUACCGUAAGAAUAAGGACCGGCUAACUCCGUGCCAGCAGCCGCGGUAAUACGGAGGGUCCGAGCGUUAUCCGGAAUUAUUGGGUUUAAAGGGUCCGCAGGCGGGCAAUUAAGUCAGGGGUGAAAUGGUACGGCUCAACCGUAGCACUGCCCUUGAUACUGGUUGUCUUGAGUCAUAGUGAAGUGGCCGGAAUAUGUAGUGUAGCGGUGAAAUGCAUAGAUAUUACAUAGAACACCGAUUGCGAAGGCAGGUCACUAACUAUCGACUGACGCUGAUGGACGAAAGCGUGGGGAGCGAACGGGAUUAGAUACCCCGGUAGUCCACGCCGUAAACGAUGGAUACUAGCUGUCCGCUGCCUUGAGCAGUGGGCGGCCCAGCGAAAGUGAUAAGUAUCCCCACCUGGGGAGUACGUUCGCAAGAAUGAAACUCAAAGGAAUUGACGGGGGCCCGCACAAGCGGUGGAGCAUGUGGUUUAAUUCGAUGAUACGCGAGGAACCUUACCAGGGCUUAAAUGCAUAAUGACAGGUCUAGAGAUAGACUUUUCUUCGGACAUUUUGCAAGGUGCUGCAUGGUUGUCGUCAGCUCGUGCCGU